UACGUAGGGGGCAAGCGGUUGUCCGGAAUUAUUGGGCGUAAAGCGCGUGUAGGCGGCUCGAUAAGUCCGCUCUGAAAGUCCGGGGCUCAACCCCGGGAGGCGGGUGGAUACUGUCGAGCUAGAGUCCGGAAGAGGCGAGUGGAAUUCCUGGUGUAGCGGUGAAAUGCGCAGAUAUCAGGAGGAACACCAAUGGCGAAGGCAGCUCGCUGGGACGGUACUGACGCUGAGGAGCGAAAAGCGUGGGGGAGCGAAACAGG
rnacentral:rRNA from 1 species